UACGUAGGGUGCGAGCGUUGUCCGGAAUUAUUGGGCGUAAAGGGCUCGUAGGCGGUUUGUCGCGUCGGGAGUGAAAACACGGGGCUUAACCCCGUGCCUGCUUCCGAUACGGGCAGACUAGAGGUAUGCAGGGGGGAACGGAAUUCCUGGUGUAGCGGUGAAAUGCGCAGAUAUCAGGAGGAACACCGGCGGCGAAGGCGGUUCUCUGGGCAUUACCUGACGCUGAGGAGCGAAAGUGUGGGGAGCGAACAGG
rnacentral:rRNA from 1 species